AGUAACGGCGAGUGAAGCGGCAACAGCUCAAAUUUGAAAUCUGGCGCAAGCCCGAGUUGUAAUUUGUAGAGGAUGUUUCUGGCGACGUGCCUUCCGAGUUCCCUGGAACGGGACGCCAUAGAGGGUGAGAGCCCCGUACGGUUGGAUGCCUAGCCUCUAUGAAACUCCUUCGACGAGUCGAGUUGUUUGGGA
rnacentral:rRNA from 1 species